rnacentral:rRNA from 1 species
UAGCGAAAUUCCUUGUCGGGUAAGUUCCGACCCGCACGAAAGGCGUAAUGAUUUGAGCGCUGUCUCGACAAUGCAUCCGGUGAAAUUGAAGUACCAGUGAAGAUGCUGGUUACCCGCGCCAGGACGGAAAGACCCCAUGGAGCUUUACUCCAGUUUGAUACUGGGAUUCGGUACUGCAUGUACAGGAUAGGUGGGAGACGAAGAAGGAUGGACGCCAGUCUGUCCGGAGUCGCUGUUGGGAUACCACCCCUGUAGUACUGGGUUUCUAACCAGUUACCAUGAUCUGGUAAUGGGACAAUGUCAGGCGGGGAGUUUGACUGGGGCGGUCGCCUCCGAAAGGGUAUCGGAGGCGCUCAAAGGUUCCCUCAGAAUGGUUGGAAACCAUUCGAAGAGUGCAAAGGCAGAAGGGAGCUUGACUGCGACACCGACGGGUGGAGCAGGUACGAAAGUAGGACUUAGUGAUCCGGUGGUAUAAAGUGGGAUUGCCAUCGCUCAACGGAUAAAAGCUACCCUGGGGAUAACAGGCUUAUCACUCCCAAGAGUUCACAUCGACGGAGUGGUUUGGCACCUCGAUGUCGGCUCAUCGCAUCCUGGGGCUGUAGUAGGUCCCAAGGGUUGGGCUGUUCGCCCAUUAAAGCGGUACGCGAGCUGGGUUCAGAACGUCGUGAGACAGUUCGGUCCCUAUCCGGCGUGGGCGUAGGAUAUCUGAGAGGAGCUGUCCUUAGUACGAGAGGACCGGGAUGGACGGGCCGCUGGUGCAUCGGUUAGACUGCCAAGUCUACGGCCGAGUAGCCAAGUCCGGAAGGGAUAAACGCUGAAGGCAUCUAAGCGUGAAGCCCCCCUCAAGAUGAGAUAUCCCAUUCGAAAGAAGUAAGACCCCUUGAAGACGACGAGGUAGAUAGGGCAGAGGUGGAAGUGCAGUAAUGCAUGGAGCUGACUGUUACUAAUCGGUCGAGGGCAUAACCAA